rnacentral:rRNA from 1 species
AGCGAACGCUGGCGGCAGGCCUAACACAUGCCAGUCGAACGAACUCUUCGGAGUUAGUGGCGGACGGGUGAGUAACACGUGGGAACGUGCCUUUUGGUUCGGAAUAACUCAGGGAAACUUGUGCUAAUACCGAAUGUGCCCUUCGGGGGAAAGAUUUAUCGCCAUUAGAGCGGCCCGCGUCUGAUUAGCUAGUUGGGGAGGUAACGGCUCACCAAGGCGACGAUCAGUAGCUGGUCUGAGAGGAUGACCAGCCACACUGGGACUGAGACACGGCCCAGACUCCUACGGGAGGCAGCAGUGGGGAAGCUUGCGCAAUGGGCGAAAGCCUGACGCAGCCAUGCCGCGUGAAUGAUGAAGGUCUUAGGAUAGUAAAAUUCUUUCACCGGGGACGAUAAUGACGGUACCCGGAGAAGAAGCCCCGGCGAACUUCGU